UGGGGAAUAUUGGACAAUGGAGGAAACUCUGAUCCAGCAAUUCUGUGUGUGUGAAGAAGGCUUUCGAGUCGUAAAGCUCUGUCCUAUGAGAAGAUAAUGACGGUAUCAUAGGAGGAAGCCCUGGCUAAAUACGUGCCAGCAGCCGCGGUAAUACGUAUGGGGCGAGCGUUGUCCGGAAUUAUUGGGCGUAAAGGGUACGUAGGUGGUUUUUUAAGUCAGGUGUCAAAGCGUGGAGCUUAACUCCAUUAAGCACUUGAAACUGAAAGACUUGAGUGAAGGAGAGGAAAGUGGAAUUCCUAGUGUAGCGGUGAAAUGCGUAGAUAUUAGGAGGAAUACCGGUGGCGAAGGCGACUUUCUGGACUUUUACUGACGCUCAGGUACGAAAGCGUGGGGAGCAAACAGG
rnacentral:rRNA from 1 species